rnacentral:rRNA from 1 species
AGUGAACGCUGGCGGCAUGCCUAACACAUGCAAGUCGAACGAGGGCUUCGGCCUUAGUGGCGCACGGGUGAGUAACACGUGGGAACCUGCCUUUCGGUUCGGGAUAACGUCUGGAAACGGACGCUAACACCGGAUACGCCCUUCGGGGGAAAGUUUACGCCGAGAGAGGGGCCCGCGCCCGAUUAGGUAGUUGGUGGGGUAACGGCCUACCAAGCCGACGACCGGUAGCUGGUCUGAGAGGAUGAUCAGCCACACUGGGACUGAGACACGGCCCAGACUCCUACGGGAGGCAGCAGUGGGGAAUAUUGGACAAUGGGGGCAACCCUGAUCCAGCAAUGCCGCGUGAGUGAUGAAGGCCUUCGGGUUGUAAAGCUCUUUCGCACGCGACGAUGAUGACGGUAGCGUGAGAAGAAGCCCCGGCUAACUUCGUGCCAGCCGCCGCCGUAA